GUGCCGGUACUUUAACGAGCUCCACCGCGACGCCGGCCACCGCCCCUGCACCUGGGCGUCUGCUGACCGCACAGCAGGGCCCGCCAGAGAUUCAGUUCUGGGUGGUGAGGGGCCUUGCGAGGACCAGGGCCACCGAUCGCCGCCUGCCCCCGCGGAAAUAGGUCCAAGGCCGCGUUUCCAAGGCGCCCCCAGUGCUGUGGGAGGUGCUGGUCCAGACCACGCUUCGAAGGAGCCAGGCGAGAGGAAGCCUCUCGGUGCGGGGAGCUGCGCGGGUUUCUAAAUGCUCGGCCUGUUUGCGUCCAGUUCAGGACCAGACGGAAGCCGUGCGCUCCCUGCAAAUGGUUUCUUUUCUUCUUCUUCGUGUGUGUGUGUGUGUGUGUGUGUGUGUGUGUGUGUGUGUGUGUGUGUGUGUGUGUGUGUGUGUGUCUUUUUCUUCUUUUUGAGACAGUUUCGCUCUUGUUGCUCAGGCUGGAGCGCACUGGCACGAUCUCCACUCACUGCAACCUCCGCCUCCCGGGUUCUCCUGCCUCAGCCUCCUGAGUAGCUGGGAUUACAGGCGCCCGCCACCACGCCCGGCUAAUUUUUGUAGUUUUAGUAGAGACGAGGGUUCACCAUGUUGGCCAGGCUGGUCUCGAACUCCCGACCUCAGGCAAUCCGCCCGCCUCAGCCUCCCAAAGUGCUGGGAUUACAGGCGUGAGCCACCGCGCCCGGCCCCUGCAAAUGGUUUCUGAGGCAGCGGCAGUGCAGCAGGCACCGGCGCUGAACGGCUUCUGCUGAAUGAAUGACACGGGUGUCACAGUGACAGAGGACAGGCGUUUCACAAGAAUACCGAAGACGUAGUGAGCCUUCUGAGUGUGGGGACGCUCUUCUCUACACUUUACAUCAUGAAUUCUUUUAAUCCACAAAA
rnacentral:lncRNA from 1 species